rnacentral:rRNA from 1 species
AUUGAACGCUGGCGGCAGGCCUAACACAUGCAAGUCGAGCGGAUGAAGGGAGCUUGCUCCUGGAUUCAGCGGCGGACGGGUGAGUAAUGCCUAGGAAUCUGCCUGGUAGUGGGGGAUAACGUCCGGAAACGGGCGCUAAUACCGCAUACGUCCUGAGGGAGAAAGUGGGGGAUCCUCGGACCUCACGCUAUCAGAUGAGCCUAGGUCGGAUUAGCUAGUUGGUGGGGUAAAGGCCUACCAAGGCGACGAUCCGUAACUGGUCUGAGAGGAUGAUCAGUCACACUGGAACUGAGACACGGUCCAGACUCCUACGGGAGGCAGCAGUGGGGAAUAUUGGACAAUGGGCGAAAGCCUGAUCCAGCCAUGCCGCGUGUGUGAAGAAGGUCUUCGGAUUGUAAAGCACUAUAAGUUGGGAGGAAGGGCAGUAAGUUAAUACCUUGCUGUUUUGACGUUACCAACAGAAUAAGCACCGGCUAACUUCGUG